GAUGAACGCUGGCGGCGUGCCUAAUACAUGCAAGUCGAGCGAAGCGGGGACGGGUGAGUAACACGUGGAUAACCUCCUAUAAGACUGGGAUAACUUCUGGAAACCGGAUCUAAACCGGUUACUUAUAGAUGGAUCCGCGCUGCAUUAGCUAGUUGGUAAGGUAACGGCUUACCAAGGCAACGAUGCAUAGCCGAUCUGAGAGGGUGAUCGGCCACACGGGAACUGAGACACGGGCCAGACUCCGACGGGAGGCAGCAGUAGGGAAUAUUCCGCAAUGGGCGAAAGACUGACGGAGCAACGCCGCGUUGGUGAAGAAGGUCUUAGGAUCGUAAAACUCUGUUAUUAGGGAAGCGAUACCAAAUCAGAAAGCCACGGCUAACUACGUGCCAGCAGCCGCGGUAAUUC
rnacentral:rRNA from 1 species